rnacentral:rRNA from 1 species
GACGUAGGGGGCAAGCGUUGUCCGGAUUUAUUGGGCGUAAAGAGCUCGUAGGCGGUUUGGUAAGUCUGGUGUGAAAUCUCCACGCUCAACGUGGAGGGGCCACCCGAUACUGCCAUGACUGGAGUCCGGUAGAGGAGUGUGGAAUUCCCGGUGUAGCGGUGAAAUGCGCAGAUAUCGGGAAGAACACCCGUGGCGAAGGCGGCUCUCUGGGACGGUACUGACGCUGAGACGCGAAAGCGUGGGGAGCGAACAGG